ACUUGUUUUCCCCUCUUGUCUUUACAAAGCCAGGCCAUCAGUUCCACUCUUGUCUUUUCUAGAAAGGACUGAAGCCAGUCUUGCAAAGAGGUUUCGGCGGGCAUGCAUUUGGAUACCUGGAACUCUAAGCUCUUCAGGGUGCCAGAGCACCAAAUGCUGGAAGCCUUGACCAUGCUUUAUGAGGAGAGAUCUAUCGAGGCUGGUCUAUGUGAAGCAGUGGUUGGAGGGAGCAGGUCUGUGCCAACAAGGAAAUGCAGCUGCCAAAUCUUUUAUAAAAACCUUAAAAGCUCACAAGCAUCAAGCUCCAGAAAAGUCUCCAAAUCCCAGAACUUCCUUCCCUGUCAUCGAAUCCUAGAAAUUCAAACCUGACACUGUUGGCUUCAGGAAAACUGGGCACUUGAGAAGUCAGUGCUACGGACACCUAUUUUUCAUCUGUGUGAUCUUCGGCAAGUUGCACCUCUAUUUUCCCCAUCGGUAUAAUAGCAAUACAGUAAUGAUGAACUGGACCUCAGAGGGUGAGGGUUGAACACAAUUGUUUGAGAGAAAUGUUCAGUUCUGUGGCUGCAAUGUGGAAAAUUCUAGAUAAAUGCUGCUACUAAGAUUAUGGCAGUUACUUAGAAACCUAAA